UACGGAGGGAGCUAGCGUUGUUCGGAAUUACUGGGCGUAAAGAGUACGUAGGCGGCUAUUCAAGUCAGAGGUGAAAGCCCGGGGCUCAACCCCGGAACUGCCUUUGAAACUAGGUAGCUAGAAUCUUGGAGAGGUCAGUGGAAUUCCGAGUGUAGAGGUGAAAUUCGUAGAUAUUCGGAAGAACACCAGUGGCGAAGGCGACUGACUGGACAAGUAUUGACGCUGAGGUACGAAAGCGUGGGGAGCAAACAGG
rnacentral:rRNA from 1 species